rnacentral:tRNA from 1 species
GCCCAGGUGGCGAAAUUGGUAGGCGCGCUGUGCUUAGAACGCAGUGUCGUAAGACGUGCUGGUUCGAGUCCAGUCCUGGGCACGA